CCCAAUCAAUUGGUCUCUCCAACAUUACCACAUUUGAGAUCUCCAACCCCCUCUUCCUUUCUAUUUAUAAAAACUUUAAAAGAGCGGUUGUCGAUGCAUAUGUCUAUAAUAAAUAUUGCAGAUCUCGUUGAGUUAAUUGAUGGUUUCCCAAGGACAAGCUUAGUGUCCUUAAACAAGCACUUAUCAGAUCGUAACAUGAACUUCUAAUUAUUUGCAAUAUUGCCUUGUGUAUUGAGCAUAUUGAGAUAAUUGUAGAAAUAUUCCUUCGGGUAUUCUUGUAACUAACCUUUUCAGGAUUGGAGC
rnacentral:lncRNA from 1 species